UUGGACUGGUUGUGACAAGGUAGAAGUCAC
rnacentral:piRNA from 1 species